rnacentral:rRNA from 1 species
UACAGAGGGGGCAAGCGUUGUUCGGAAUUACUGGGCGUAAAGGCGCGUAGGCGGCCUUCUAAGUCGAACGUGAAAUCCCCGGGCUCAACCCGGGAACUGCGUCCGAUACUGGAAGGCUUGAAUCCGGGAGAGGGAUGCGGAAUUCCAGGUGUAGCGGUGAAAUGCGUAGAUAUCUGGAGGAACACCGGUGGCGAAGGCGGCAUCCUGGACCGGUAUUGACGCUGAGGCGCGAAAGCCAGGGGAGA